rfam:Pan troglodytes isolate Yerkes chimp pedigree #C0471 (Clint) chromosome 7, whole genome shotgun sequence.
GCCAGGUGUGGUGUCUCACGCCUGUAAUCCCAACACUUUGGGAGGCCGAGGCGGGUGGAUCACCUGAGGUCAGGAGUUCGAGACCAGCCUGGCCAACAUGGUGAAACCCCGUCUCUA